CCACUACAAGAUGGACCUGCGUUGUAUUAGCUAGUAGGUGAGGUAACGGCUCACCUAGGCGACGAUACAUAGCCGACCUGAGAGGGUGAUCGGCCACACUGGGACUGAGACACGGCCCAGACUCCUACGGGAGGCAGCAGUAGGGAAUCUUCGGCAAUGGGGGCAACCCUGACCGAGCAACGCCGCGUGAGUGAAGAAGGUUUUCGGAUCGUAAAGCUCUGUUGUAAGUCAAGAACGAGUGUGAGAGUGGCAAGUUCACACUGUGACGGUAGCUUACCAGAAAGGGACGGCUAACUACGUGCCAGCAGCCGCGGUAAUACGUAGGUCCCGAGCGUUGUCCGGAUUUAUUGGGCGUAAAGCGAGCGCAGGCGGUUUGAAAAGUCUGAAGUUAAAGACUGUGGCUCAACCAUAGUUCGCUUUGGAAACUGUCAAACUUGAGUGCAGAAGGGGAGAGUGGAAUUCCAUGUGUAGCGGUGAAAUGCGUAGAUAU
rnacentral:rRNA from 1 species